rnacentral:rRNA from 1 species
UUGACCUCAGAUCAGGUAGGAAUACCCGCUGAACUUAAGCAUAUCAAUAAGCGGAAGAAAAGAAACCAACAGGGAUUGCCCUAGUAACGGCGAGUGAAGCGGCAACAGCUCAAAUUUGAAAUCUGGCCCCAGGCCCGAGUUGUAAUUUGUAGAGGAUGUUUCUGGCGACGUGUCUUCCGAGUUCCCUGGAACGGGACGCCAUAGAGGGUGAGAGCCCCGUACGGUUGACUGCCUAGCCUCUGUGAAACUCCUUCGACGAGUCGAGUAGUUUGGGAAUGCUGCUCUAAAUGGGAGGUAUACGUCUUCUAAAGCUAAAUACCGGCCAGAGACCGAUAGCGCACAAGUAGAGUGAUCGAAAGAUGAAAAGCACUUUGAAAAGAGGGUUAAAUAGUACGUGAAAUUGUUGAAAGGGAAGCGUUUAUGACCAGACUUGGGCAGGUUGAUCAUCCGUCGUUCUCGGCGGUGCACUCUGCCUGCCCAGGCCAGCAUCAGUUCGCUCCGGGGGACAAAGGCUUCGGGAAUGUGGCUCCCUCGGGAGUGUUAUAGACCGUUGCGUAAUACCCUGGGGCGGACUGAGGUUCGCGCUCUGCAAGG